rnacentral:rRNA from 1 species
AACGAACGCUGGCGGCAGGCCUAACACAUGCAAGUCGAGCGCCCAGCAAUGGGAGCGGCAGACGGGUGAGUAACGCGUGGGAACCUUCCCGAUAGUACGGAAUAGCUCAGGGAAACUUGAGGUAAUACCGUAUACGCCCGUAAGGGGAAAGGAUUCAUCGCUAUCGGAUGGGCCCGCGUAGGAUUAGCUAGUUGGUGAGGUAAUGGCUCACCAAGGCGACGAUCCUUAGCUGGUUUGAGAGAAUGACCAGCCACACUGGGACUGAGACACGGCCCACGACUCCUACGGGAGGCAGCAGUGGGGAAUCUUGGUACAAUGGGCGCAAGCCUGAUCCAGCCAUGCCGCGUGAGUGACGAAGGUCUUCGGAUUGUAAAGCUCUUUUGCCAGGGGACGAUAAUGACGGUACCUGGAGAAUAAGCCCCGCUAACUUCGUGCC